ACUGAGCACAGAAGCUUUCAGGGCAAAUAACGGAACUGAGGCACCCCAAGGGGUCGAUGCUAUUCAGUCAUGUAUUUUCUUAAAGUUACAUCUUCCUCGUGGUGACUGGUUGCGUCAACUUUUGAUUUAAAUGUCAGGGAAGUUAUGUAGCAGGACUAUGUUUAUCCACACCUGUUAAUAUACGGAAGAAAAUAAAUAUUCCAAAUUGUAGACUCGAGUUGUUAAAACAAGUCACUGAAGUGAUUUAUUUUUUGGAGCAAGAAUAAUGUGUGGGUUAACGUAUAGCCACAAUGUCCACUUGCCUGGUUCUUUACUUGUUGAUCUGUCUGCUGAUUUUGUCGGUAUUCGGAAGGACCCGCCCCUUUCCUCAUCCUCCACGGAAAGUCUCGAGUCCUGCCCAAGUCCACGCGCACUAGCGGGACAGCCGGGCCGCGCGGACACCGGUCGCCUCGCAACGGACUUUCUUCUGCUCGAGCGCUAAAACCAUUCCGCUCCUGUUAAACCACGCACAGGUCCACUUGGGGAUACAUUUUUUGUUCAACUUCCCUCAGCGCCUUGUCUGCGUGUACAGCCUGAUGCUGGAGGGCCUCAGUGGAGCCUGCAGAGGAUAAGACAGAAGAAGACGAGGAGCAGCCGUCCAAGAGAAGUGGUCCUGCUGGUAGUGGGAACAACCCACCGCCAGCGGACAGACAGAGACCACAGAACCCUGCUGCUCUGACCGGGCCAACCCAUGGAGGAUGAGCACAUAGGAGGAUAAUCGAGUGAACCUCCCCCUCCCCGACACCACCACCAUCAUCAUCCCACCAAGCCGCCCAGUCACCCUGACACAGACAAGCCCCCCUGUUGGGGCAUUUCUCCCCCUUCAGGCUCCGAGACACAGGCAGACUGCCGGGGCUUGGAUUACCCUAUUAAAGCAUUUUACUCUCUUUAAAGAUCCACACACGCACAGGGAUUGUGUGUGUGUGGGUGUGUGUGUGUGUGUCUGCUCAUCCAUUGGAUUUGGUUCCUGGAGGGCAGGCUGCCAGGUUCUCUUUCUGCUCCUCAUAAACCUCCCCACAACCAGGAGAUCCUCCAAGGAGACAGAGGAGGAGGAGGAGGAGGAAGGAGAACCACGAGGGAUUCAGCUACAGCCCUGGGUUUGGAUAAGGGUGUGUGCAGGGUUAAGACGGCGGGGGGGGGAAGAAAGGAGAGAAGAGGGAGCGGCUGCCUUGCUCAGCGGCAGAGCAGAACACCAGAGCUCCAGACCCGACCCAACGGCCCCCCUCCCGGGUCAGGGGUCGCCCGGCUGGAUUAGAGGACAGACACGGAUCUCCGGCAACUUCUAUGGUUCCAGGGGCGUCACCACAGAACCAUUUGCAGCUGUACCCGGACCUAUUUCUGAGCUCAA